CUCAUCUUCUCACAUACAGGGAACACCUUGCCACCCGGUUUUGUUAUCGAUGUUGUCCCUCAGUUUCUGGCUCUGCUCUGUUUUUAUGAACUAGAAAAUCUGAGAGGUCUUUCAAAAAUGCAGAUCACCUUUGAAGAUUUGAAAGAUGCCUUAGGAAAACAGCCCACAGGUCAAGAUGAAUGGAUAAAUACAAAUGGGCUUGGACCUGCAGUGGAAUAUUACUCAGUUUUCAAAAGGAGAUUUUGACCCGUGCUAGAACAUUUAAGAGCCUUGGAGACAUUCUGUUGAUUUAAACACAAAAGGACUACUAUUUUCUGGUUCUGCAUAUCUGAGGUUUCUAGAAUAGCCCAUUCAUGGAGACAGAGAGUAGAAUGGUGGUCCCUGUGGGGCAAGCGGUGGUGGGAGGGGGAGUUUCUGUUUAGCGAGUACAAAGGUUCAAUGGUAAGAAAAUUCUGGAGGUGACUUCAUGGCGGUGUUGGCCAACGUUGUAAUGCCAAUCAACUGUAUAACAAAAUGGUUAAAAUGGUGGA